CCUACGGGAGGCAGCAGUGAGGAAUAUUGGUCAAUGGGCUUACGCCUGAACCAGCCAAGUCGCGUGAGGGAAGACUGCCCUAUGGGUUGUAAACCUCUUUUGUCAGGGAGCAAUUGGCGCUACGUGUAGCGUUAUCGAGAGUACCUGAAGAAAAAGCAUCGGCUAACUCCGUGCCAGCAGCCGCGGUAAUACGUAGGAGGCAAGCGUUAUCCGGAAUGACUGGGCGUAAAGGGUGCGUAGGUGGUUUGACAAGUUGGUAGCGUAACUCCGGAGCUCAACUUCGGAACUACUACCAAAACUGUUGGACUCGAGUGCAGGAGGGGCAACUGGAAUUUCUAGUGUAGCGGUGGAAUGCGUAGAUAUUAGGAAGAACACCGGUGGCGAAGGCGAGUUGCUGGACUGUAACUGACACUGAGGCACGAAAGCGUGGGGAGCAAACAGGAUUAGAUACCCGAGUAGUC
rnacentral:rRNA from 1 species